UCCAUUGCUCAGUUGGUAGAGCACAAGGCUCUUAACCUUGUGGUCGUGGAUUCCAACCCUACGAUGGAG
rnacentral:tRNA from 1 species